rnacentral:rRNA from 1 species
AGCGAACGCUGGCGGCAGGCCUAACACAUGCAAGUCGAACGGACCCUUCGGGGUUAGUGGCGGACGGGUGAGUAACACGUGGGAACGUGCCUUUAGGUUCGGAAUAGCUCCUGGAAACGGGUGGUAAUGCCGAAUGUGCCCUUCGGGGGAAAGAUUUAUCGCCUUUAGAGCGGCCCGUGUCUGAUUAGCUAGUUGGUGAGGUAAUGGCUCACCAAGGCGACGAUCAGUAGCUGGUCUGAGAGGAUGACCAGCCACAUUGGGGCUGAGACACGGCCCAAACUCCUACGGGAGGCAGCAGUGGGGAAUCUUGCGCAAUGGGCGAAAGCCUGACGCAGCCAUGCCGCGUGGAUGAUGAAGGUCUUAGGAUUGUAAAAUCCUUUCACCGGUGAAGAUAAUGACUGUAGCCGGAGAAGAAGCCCCGGCUAACUUCGUGCCAGCCGCCGCCGUAAUAC